rnacentral:misc_RNA from 1 species
GUUGUCUUGUGGUGCUUGUGUGUGUUGAUGCUAAGGCACGUUUCUUUUUUAUUUGAUUGUGAUUUCAUUCUGCCAUACCCAGGGUCGAGUCCCGUGUCCAGCCUCCUGCAUCAUGGGCCGUGAGAGCGAGAAGGCACGUCAGCGGAAGCUGGCCCGCCGCGCGGAGAAGGAGCGCCUGGCUGCCUGUGGCGCCCUGGUGAAGCAGGCUAACGAGGUGCCCGACCUGAUGGCCGACCUGGCGGCGUUCCGACGGUACGAGCGGCGCGGCCUGGCCGUCACCAUCGAGCACCGCAACGUCGGCGACCUCAGCGCCGCAGAGGUGGACACCCUGCUGGCCAUCUGCCGCGAGAACAUGCAGAGCCUCUACGACGCCUGCGACUGGGGCUGGAACGACAAGGAGAAACGCUCCGAGAUGACCGAGAGCAUGGCCAAGUACCUGAUCGCGCGCAACGCAGAGGGGAAAAUUGUCGCGUUCUGUCAUUUCCGGUUCGAUCUGGAUUAUGACGAUGAUGUUUUGUAUUGCUACGAAAUACAGCUUACGAAGGCUUGCCGCCGAAGUGGAUUGGGUAAGUUUCUGAUGAUGAUCCUCGAGCUGAUGGCGUUCAAAAAGCAGAUGCUUUACGUGAGGCUAACAGUUCUAAAGCACAACGAAGGGGCGAAUGCGUUCUUCAAGGCCUGUGGCUACACCCGGGACAAGACUUGCCUGGAGGACACUAUUUACCAGACUCACUGCUACGAGAUCCUCAGCAAGAAGAACCCCAAAAAGGAGGACUCGAACCCGGACACCGUGCCCCAGCUGAGUGUCAGCAAGGCGCAGCAGCGGGUCAGCUCGUGAACACGCAGCACGAGCCGGCCGCCAUCGGCCAGACCGGCAUCAUCUCGUCGAUUUUCGUGUUGCUGUUUCAUUUCGAUGUCGUCGUGUGACUAGCAUCUCAGUGGAGCUCACGGCGUCGAUUGUAGUUAGAUAUUGUCAUCAGUGUCGCCGGCUGGAUUGCGAUGGUGUUUUGCAACAUCUGUGUCUUUGUGGUACCUUUACGUGACGAUGACGAUGUGUUGUGCUGUGUCACGCCCCUGUAGCGUGUCUUGUGGGGGAUGCUGGACUGGACUCGGUCUCUGGUUUUACCGACGAGUGGACCGCUUUUACUGACGCCAAAGCUUGGCCGAACUAGCCGUGAUCAGCACAUCACGAGCUGAAUUUCUUUCGUAUCGUGUUGUGACCGGACAUGUGGUAAUGCUCUCGGCUUAUGCUGUCGCUGUUUUGGGUCAGCCGCAUUUCAGCAAAAUAUCCUCACUUGCCCGUCACGUCACUGACUGAUUUUAGCUGUGUCCAUAACGUUUGUUAAUAAAACGCGAAGUGAAAA